GGGGCCCCUCGGGGCCCAACCUCCCACCCGUGUUGCCCGAACCUAUGUUGCCUCGGCGGGCCCCGCGCCCGCCGACGGCCCCCCUGAACGCUGUCUGAAGUUGCAGUCUGAGACCUAUAACGAAAUUAGUUAAAACUUUCAACAACGGAUCUCUUGGUUCCGGCAUCGAUGAAGAACGCAGCGAAAUGCGAUAACUAAUGUGAAUUGCAGAAUUCAGUGAAUCAUCGAGUCUUUGAACGCACAUUGCGCCCUCUGGUAUUCCGGAGGGCAUGCCUGUCCGAGCGUCAUUGCUGCCCUCAAGCCCGGCUUGUGUGUUGGGCCCCGUCCCCCCCGCCGGGGGGACGGGCCCGAAAGGCAGCGGCGGCACCGCGUCCGGUCCUCGAGCGUAUGGGGCUUCGUCACCCGCUCUAGUAGGCCCGGCCGGCGCCAGCCGACCCCCAACCUUUAAUUAUCUCAGGUUGACCUCGGAUCAGGUAGGGAUACCCGCUGAACUUAAGCAUAUCAAUAAGGAAGGAAGAAAACCGAGUGCGGGCCCCUCGGGGCCCAACUC
rnacentral:rRNA from 1 species